ACAGGAUCUCACUCUGUUGCCCAGGCUGGAGUACAGUGGCAUGAUCAUAGCUCGUUGCAACCUCGACCUCCUGGACUCAAGCAAUCCUCCUGCUUCAACUUCCAGGGUAGCUGGGACUACAGAUGAUUUAUAGGAGAGGAGAAGGAGACAGGUUGAAGCAGCCUGUGAUUCCUGGGUCAGGAAGAACAUGGAAACUCAUGUCAGCCCGACUGUCUUCCACGCAAUUCCAAGCUAGGAAAGCAGGAGUUCCCUUAGUAUCCUUUCUAGGAUUUGGGGCUUUAUCCCUGGGAGGCAUUUGAAGGAGAAUUAUGGUAUACCUUUAUGUGUUUUGACUCCAUCAUUUCCUUCCCAAAGAAGUGUGCAUAUUAUAGGUUCGCCAACAAUAUGCAAG
rnacentral:lncRNA from 10 species